rnacentral:siRNA from 1 species
GGGAAGAAGCAUGUCCACUUUGC